UUAAUUCUCUAAUAUUCCAGAACAACAGCACGACCCCAUGUAUGCCUUACUCAAGACCAAAGGGCCAUAGAACAACCUAUAGCUCUACAACCUCGCUAUUUCAUCUUAUCCUGGACACGGUCAGGCGGGCUUUACAUGGGUCAAGUGAGCACAAGGAUGAAUACGGUGGGUUAGACAGAAAUCUCCACACAAGACUGAUUUCCCUUUUGAAGAGACCUUGAGGUUUAAUCUACAAAUCAAUUUCAAGUAAGAAUAAGAUUUGAGCAUCAGUCUCCAAUUUCCUGCCUGUUUGUCUAUAUGUCUAAUUUCACACACUGAUUAGGUACUCACCCCCAUCAACAAAGAAAAGAUCCAUGUUCGAUAACUGAAACAGGGAUGGAAUCUUUUUGCUAGCUGAAGGUCAUUGGAUUUUAUAUCUGGAGAAUAAUGCACAGCUUCCUGUCUUCCCCGCUCCAGGUCACAGGGUGGAAUCAGAAAACAAGUUAGAGAAGACCAGAGACAUCUGAGAUGACCUUGACUACAAAUGAAGGUGCCCCUGGAGUUGAACAGGAACUAAUCACUCUGAAGAACAAAAGCCCAGAUUAGUUUAUGUACUUGAAGCCUGAUAAAGAACUGUAGCUUAACAAUUUGGGAAGAUAUAUGACGAGUCAUUGAAUAAAUGAUUCCCUCCUCUUUCCCAAGUAUGACAUAUUUAAGAUUUUUAAAGGAACAACUUCACUUUACAAAUUCAAAGAAUUCCUGAUUUCUCUCACUCUUUUCCCAAGCCCUUUAAGACUUCUAAAAAGCACUUCUAUGCAACAAUGGGCUGACAAAUACUUUUUUAGUGGUUUAAAAAGUCUCCACUUACCUGCAAC